AUUUCACAUAUCAAAAAUCUCAGACCUUGGCUAAGUUUAAUUGUAAAUUUCAAUGUGCUCUCCUUUUUCAGUUAACCAACGCUUGUUUAAAUGACAAUGUAUUUGUUGUGUGAUAAGGUAAGUAUUAAAGUGCUGAUUAACACCUUGUUGGCGCUAAAAAAUUUUCAUCCUUUGGAUAUUACUUCUAAAGUGCCUAGCCUAAAGCUUCAUCCAGCAUGAACAGACCAAGAAAAUGAAGCAUCUAUACUGAAAGCUCUUUCUGCAGUUAUGCUUUCAACCCAAGGAUAUAAAUUUAAAACCAAUCAUGAGGAUUGGGUCAAAUCCAUCAAAUCCGAAUUAGGCCAUGAUGUUUUUGAGCGUGUUAUUGGUGUUAUUGCUGCUAUUAAUAGCUUAAUGCUACUCAUAAUAAUAUAAAAACCUUGUAUAAAGUCUGGACUGAGAUGUGAGCUGCAUUUCAAAGUCUACUAAAGGUUAUAGUUCCAUUAGGUUCUCAUAAUGGUGGUUGUGUUUCUAUUUCAUUCAUCUCAUUCCAUGGGGUUGAUAAAUUUUUACUUGAUACGGUGUUGGAUAUGUAUUGCACUCUUCAAGAGCAAGUUAGUGUUGCCUCCUAUUCUUUGCCAUUACAAGAUACCAAUGGAAACAUUGAAACUUCUGAGCUUCUAGAGGAGAAGGGAAAUGCAGCCUUUAAAGGAAGCCAGUGGAAUAAGGCACUCAAUUACUACACUAAGGCUAUCAAACUGAAUGGCAUAAAUGCGACUUACUACUGUAACCGAGCGGCUGCUUACUUAAAGUUAGCCUGAAUGUGAAGGUGUAUCUAAGACGUGGAGCUGCUAAAGAAUCACUACUACGCUACCAGGAAAUAAGAAGAAAAAGAAGCAAAGAAGCACAAAAUAAGCUAAAAAGGAGAAAAAAAAAGAGCUUUGGGACACACUUUGAAGUUGGAGCACACUUUGGAGCCUUAGGCCACGCUUUUAAAAGCAUGGCCCAUGAAUAAAUUAAAGGAUAUUGGCAAUCAACACACUAAGCUCAGCUCUUGCCAAGAGCAGAGCAUUAUCGUGAUGCAAAAAUGAGCUGGGAAGCAAAAUUUUCGCUAAGUUAAAACUUGGGUGCUCACAGCUUGACCAUGCCUCCUUCAAAGGGCUAUAACUUGAGCUAUGAAUGUCCGAUUGAUGUGCUUCUAGUUGUGUUAGAAA